rnacentral:misc_RNA from 1 species
GAUGAAGAACGCAGCGAAAUGCGAUAACUAAUGUGAAUUGCAGAAUUCAGUGAAUCAUCGAGUCUUUGAACGCACAUUGCGCCCUCUGGUAUUCCGGGGGGCAUGCCUGUCCGAGCGUCAUUGCUGCCCUCAAGCACGGCUUGUGUGUUGGGCCUCCGUCCUCCUCCCGGGGGACGGGCCCGAAAGGCAGCGGCGGCACCGCGUCCGGUCCUCGAGCGUAUGGGGCUUCGUCACCCGCUCUUGUAGGCCCGGCCGGCGCUUGCCGACACAUCAAUCUUUUUUCCAGGUUGACCUCGGAUCAGGUAGGGAUACCCGCUGAACUUAAGCAUAUCAAUAAGCGGAGGA